rnacentral:misc_RNA from 1 species
UAUAUGUAACUGUAAUUAAAUACUAGUGCUUUUGAUUUUAAUGUUAAAUUUCAUGCAUGCUUUUGUUAAAUAUGCAGGUACAUUUGAAGAAAAUCAAUUUGAAUGCUCUAGGCAAGAUGGGCAUAAAAAACUCAAGCCCAAUGCUGUGCCAACUCUUUUCAAUGUGCCUAAUCCUCCACAACUGUUGACCCCACAGCGUCUAAAAGGCAUUGGUUUACCAAAGCACCGUUCAGUUACAUCCAAUUUUUGUAAUGGUGGCUUGCUGCACAGUUUACCUUUAUCAACUGAAGCGAUUUCUGUUGCUGAACCAUCUGUUGUUCAUUUGCCACAACCUUCAGCUUCAUAUUUUGGAGAAAUAAAUUUUGCUGCUGAAGUAUUUUAAAUGUUUCCAUCUUCAUAAUCAUGCACUUUAUUUCAUUUCACCAGUGGUUGCAAAUGUGUACAUUACAGUACAUCUCAGAACAAGCUUCAACUUCAUCUUGUGAUAAAAUGCCAUCUAUUUGUGAAGGAUCUCAUGAUGUUCUUUUAAGGAAUUUUUAUAAAACAGCAGACUGAAUUGAUCUCGCUUCUGCAAUGCCAGAACAAAAUAUUACUGAAA